GAUGAACGCUGGCGGCGUGCCUAAUACAUGCAAGUCGAGCGAACAGACGAGGAGCUUGCUCCUCUGACGUUAGCGGCGGAGGGGUGAGUAACACGUGGAUAACCUACCUAUAAGACUGGGAUAACUUCGGGAAACCGGAGCUAAUACCGGAUAAUAUAUUGAACCGCAUGGUUCAAUAGUGAAAGACGGUUUUGCUGUCAUUUAUAGAUGGAUCCGCGCCGCAUUAGCUAGUUGGUAAGGUAACGGCUUACCAAGGCAACACUCAUUAGCCGACCUGAGAGGGUGAUCGACCACACUGGAGCUGAGACAGAGCCCAGACUCUUACGGGACGCACCAGUGCAGCAUCUUCCCGAAUGGCGAAAUGCCGAACGAGCCAACGCGCGGUGAGUGAUGAAGGUUUUAUGAUCGUAAACCUCUGUUAUUGGGGAAAAAACAAUUUUUAAGUAACUAUCCACGUCUUAAGGGUACCUAAUCGGAAAGCCACGGCUAACUCCGUG
rnacentral:rRNA from 1 species